UUGUAAAUAUGUGAACCCUUCAGAAUGGAACUAACUUGAGCCUUUGGUUCUACAGCCGAGGCUCGCUGCCCCCUGGAGGGCAGCGAGUCGGUGGGUU
rfam:Myotis brandtii contig274949, whole genome shotgun sequence.